UUUGUUACUUCAAACCAAUCGGACUUCGGUCUGACAUCAAGUGAUAUUGAACAAUUUAGCUGAUCGCACGGUCUAAGAACCGGCGACAUAUCUUUCAAAUGUCUGCCUUAUCAACUUUCGAUGGUAGAUUAUGCGCCUACCAUGGUUGUAACGGGUAACGGAGAAUCAGGGUUUGAUUCCGGAGAGGGAGCCUGAGAAACGGCUACCACAUCCAAGGAAGGCAGCAGGCACGCAAAUUACCCACUCCCGGCACGGGGAGGUAGCGACGAAAAAUAACAAGCUGGUCUCAAUGAGUUCCAGCAUUGUAAUGGGAACAAUUUAAAUCUUUUAUCGAGGAUCUAUUGGAGGGCAAGUCUGGUGCCAGCAGCCGCGGUAAUUCCAGCUCCAAUAGCGUAUAUUAAAGUUGUUGCGGUCAAAAAGCUCGUAGUUGGAUCUAGGAUUAGGGCUACGGUCGUUCAGCUUGGACGUACUGUAUGCCCGACUCCUUUUCUCUAGUAUUCGAUUGUUGCUCUUAAAUGAGUGACUUUAGUUGCUGGAACUUUUACCUUGAAAAAAUUGAAGUGCUCAAAGCAGGUU
rnacentral:rRNA from 1 species